AACAGCGUGGCUCAGUGGAAAGAGCACGGGCUUGGGAGUCAGAGAUCAUGGGUUCGAAUCCCAGCGCUGCCA
rnacentral:tRNA from 1 species